GCCACUGUGUGUAAGUGGUUUGAGUGUUAGACUAUGACUCUGAAGGCCAGAGUUCAAAUCCUUGCUCAGCCA